rnacentral:rRNA from 1 species
GACGAACGCUGGCGGCGUGCUUAACACAUGCAAGUCGAACGGUGAUCUCAGAGCUUGCUCUGGGUGAUCAGUGGCGAACGGGUGAGUAACACGUGAGUAACCUGCCCUUCACUCUGGGAUAACUCCGGGAAACCGGUGCUAAUACUGGAUAUGACACGAACAGGCAUCUGUAUCGUGUGGAAAGUUUUUCGGCGGAGGAUGGACUCGCGGCCUUUGAGCUUGUUGGUGGGGUAGUGGCCUACCAAGGCGACGACGGGUAGCCGGCCUGAGCGGGCGACCGGACACACUGGGACUGAUACACGGCCCAGACUCCUGCGGGAGGCAGCAGUGUGGAAUAUUGCACAAUGGGCGCAAGCCUGAUGCAGAGACGCCGCGUGAGGGAUGAAGGCCUUCGGGUUGUAAACCUCUUUCAGCGCCGAAGAAGCGAGAGUGACGGUAGGCGCAGAAGAAGCACCGGCUAACUACGUGCCAGCAGCCGCCGUAAGAC